AUUGAACGCUGGCGGCAGGCUUAACACAUGCAAGUCGAGCGGAGAUGAGGUGCUUGCACCUUAUCUUAGCGGCGGACGGGUGAGUAAUGCUUAGGAAUCUGCCUAUUAGUGGGGGACAACAUUCCGAAAGGAAUGCUAAUACCGCAUACGUCCUACGGGAGAAAGCAGGGGAUCUUCGGACCUUGCGCUAAUAGAUGAGCCUAAGUCGGAUUAGCCAGUUGGUGGGGUAAAGGCCUACCAAGGCGACGAUCUGUAGCGGGUCUGAGAGGAUGAUCCGCCACACUGGGACUGAGACACGGCCCAGACUCCUACGGGGGGCAGCAGUGGGGAAUAUUGGACAAGGGGGGGAACCCUGAUCCAGCCAUGCCGCGUGUGUGAAGAAGGCCUUAUGGUUGUAAAGCACUUUAAGCGAGGAGGAGGCUACUGAGACUAAUACUCUUGGAUAGUGGACGUUACUCGCAGAAUAAGCACCGGCUAACUCUGUGCCAGCCGCCGCAGUAA
rnacentral:rRNA from 1 species